ensembl:lncRNA
AGCGGAAGUAGGGCGAUGCUGAGGCGGCAGCCGGAAGUCUUGUGGUCCGUGGGCGGGGCUUAGCGAGCUCCCGGGUUUGCGUUUGCCAAUUAAUGUGCAGACGGCGGCUGAAAACCGUUGAAGCUGAGGAAACUUGACAGAUGUUUUGUGGAUGACGCGAGGACAGCAGAACGGAAAGGAGAAACAUCAAAUUUUAGAGGAAUGAAGAUGUAGCGCAACCACUGAAAAGCCUGGGGACGAGGCCUAGGAAACCAGGAGGCGUCCGUCCGGGCACUGUGUAAAAAGAACCCUCAACUCACCGGAGCUGUGACUUCGGAUGGAAAAGACGAGAUGACACCUCAGGGAGUCUAACUCGAAUUCACGUCCUCACUAGGCAUUGCUGCCUCGGUAUUUAUUGAAAAAUUAAUUAAAUAAGUGGAUUAUACAGAUGCAGAAAUACUGAAACACCGAACUAUUUUGAAGUCGUCUGCAUUUCAUGUGCUUGAGAAUAAACGGUUGUAAAUUCCAGUGACAGUUGAAUCUUGGUUGUGGAUUAUUAACUUUUUUUUUUUUAACUUUGGGCCAGGUUUAACCCUUCCAUCUGUCCUGAUGACAAGUUCAUUAGCUAAAAUUAAUUUGAACUUUGGUCUAAAGGAAAACAUACUAGGAAAAUAAAGAUGUAAAAUAACUUUAUCAAGCAUUCCAAAGCCAGAAAUUACUUGUCGUUUUUGAGUAUUACCUGUGUCAGUAUCCUUCAUUAUAGGAUGGUAAACUAUUGUUAUUCUUCUUCACAGGGGACUAGUACUGAAAAGGGUGUUCUUGAGUUACAGACUUUUUAAUACCAUUUUGCAUGGAAGAUGGAGAAUAUUUAGCAAGAUAGAUGGAACUGGGUUAAAAAGAGGUCACUGGGUUAAGGAAAGAAUGGGAGGCAAAUAAGUAGUAAGUAGUACACAGACUUUCAUCCCUAAGUGUAUAUCUGAGGUAGAAGAUAGAGGGGCCAGGUAGAGGGGCCCCUGGGCUGGACAGCUGGUGUCUGUCAAGUGGAGAAAAACUGAAGCUUUGUUCUCCCCACACUCCAAGGAAAAAGCUAGUGGCAGAAGCUGAGCUCUGCUGGAAUAGAGAUAAGAUGGCCAUUCCUGAGGUCAAGGAAACUUCCUGACCCCUCAGGUCCACAAAGGCUCCUUGGAGGUAGAAAAGGGAGGCAGGUCACCA